ACUGACAUCCCUAUAUCAACCCUAUUGAACUGACAGGUUCCAACAUAUGAGGGUAUCCAAGAUGGCCUCCUCAUUUUGAGUAUCCAUCCUUAGUUCGGAAAGAAGCCUAACAAACGAGAAAAGGCUAUCUGUAAAACUUAUUGUUAAUAUCAAUUUUAACAUAUUUGAUUGUAAAAUGGCAAAAAUUACAUUCGUUAGUCACCUCUUACAUGUAAAUCGUCAUUUUUAUUUGUUUGCUUUGAUUUAACUAAAUUCCCAUCCAAAAAACUACAUUUCGUUUUACUUUUAUAAAAUACAUUUGAUGAAAUUGGACACUCUCGAGAGUUACGCUUCAAUGUCAGUACAAAGUGUAAACAAAUAGCACGGUAGCGUUUAUCUUCACCGUUCGCGUUUAUUUCCUACGAAGUCGAUCGUCUGGGAGAUUUUCGAGAUUUUAAUUUGCUUUCGGUUUGUAAUUAAGCAUAAAUAAACUGCAGAAGAAGUUAUGUAACGUUUUGUGAUUACGAGUGCCAGUGCCAAUGUGAAAAAAGUGACAUGGAUCUGAUCCUGGACAAGUUACCUCCGCACUCACUGACCAGGAUCAUAAAGGAGGAGAUCCGUGUGGAUCUGAUCCAUCAGGAUCAUUGCAACCCGGACUGUCCCGUACGGAACAUAUUCCCGCUUCGUUAUUGUUGCUGGGAGGAGCGGGAGGAGGUAUAUAAUAGCAAACCAAGCAAUACAUUUCGGGGCGUAUUUUCCAACCAUAAGAGAAGGUUUGCAUUACAUGUCUAGAGGGAAAUGGAGUUGAAACGCUGGAGAAAAAUAUGGAACUGCUUUCCAAUUUGCGGAGAACGUGCCCCUGGAGCCAGCCUUCUAAGCAUUGUAUGGUGAAGAUGGUGAACAUUUCCCAAGUACCAAAAUGUGUGCCGAAACGACUACACCUUCGGAGGCCAUCAAAAACAUUGCCACUGUAAUCCUCGUUUUUGGAUGAAGGAUGGAAAACACAUCACUACUUCUUCGUGUGGUGCCAUUCUGAUGCCCAACGUCAAUCACAUGUGUGGAUUCUUCGCCAAGCAGCCAUAAUUCUGUCUCCCACACGACCUUGAUACACCCACGACUUUCAAGUUGGACGUUCAACAGAAGUUUACCACAGACAGGACACAUCGGCCACAUCGAUCUGUUCAAGGUACAGGAAGGUUUCCUACAAAACGUUGCCACUCACGGAGAAUAAAGUAAAUCAGCAUUUCUAGUUAAAUUUUGGAUGCCACAAUCUAAUUAUCAACUCUAAUUGAUGCAUAUAAUCAAUAAAAAUAGAGAAACACAAAGGAUGUUCAAGUAACCUUCAAUAUAUGCAUAAAUACUAUAUAAAGCUUGCAUUACUGUAUAACCACACUUAAAGUUGAUGUAAAUUGGGAAAUGGUACCAAACAUGUCGAGUUCAUGUUAUACAUUAUAAUUUAAAUAUGGCUCCUUUCGCACUUUAAAUCAACUUCAAUUAUGCUUUUACAGUAAUGCUAGUUUUAAAUACACCGUAUUCAUGCAUACAUUGUAGAUUGAGCAGCAUAGUUACUUGGGUGGUGAUAGCUUUCAAUAGGAAACCUGACUGUAUCCUACCGUGAUCCACGUUUGAAGAAACGAAAUGUAGUAUAUAAAUUCAAUGCAUGUGGUAAAUUUCAUCAAAAUUGUAUACAAAACUACCAAUUAUGUAUAUUUAUGUUUAUUAUUAUAAUACAUCAAUGUCAAUACAAUACAAUACAAUCAUGUUUGUUAGUUUCCUUCGAAAAGUAUAAGUUUAGUUAGCUUUUGUCUGUUUGUUGGCUUAAAUGAUGUCAUUUUUUUGCUGUAUAAUUUAAUUCUUAUAUUGAGGUAAAUUUCAAUGAUAUUUUUGAGAAUGAUCGAUUUAUGGUUUUCACUACAGGGCACAUGAUUGAAAAUGUUUUCCAAUUGUGACUGUACUCGUAAUAAUGAAUUUGAAAAAACGAAGUCAUAAUAUUUCUCAAUAUUUACGUUUGUCUUUUCGUCGAUGAGCAUCUGUAAGUAUAAAAGCGAUGAAAUAUUUAUAUUUUUACUAAUUUGCAAAUUGUUCUUGUAUUUAAACAUGGAUCUAUAACCACAGACAAACAGACGUAACACUGACGAAAUUUCCAUCCAAGUGCACGAUUUUUUUCUCUUCGUCUUUUUAAGUGUUACCUUUGUUUGUCUGUGGUAUAAUUAUUACCUUGAAUUCGUAUUCUGUUGCCUUACAUACAGAUGUGAUACCAAUUCCAUCAUUGAUCAUGGAACUCGCACACGAUACGCAUUUCAGAAUGCGUAAUAACUUUCGUUUAACUUCAUCGGAAUGUUUUUGAAUCGAUAUGCAUAACGCCACAUCCGUCUCGAAUAAAUCAUAAUCGAGCAAAUAUUCGGUGUACCAGUUAUCAGCAUGAUCUUGGUGUUCUUGGUAGCUUGGGGUAUCUGUUACAGUGUUCUGAGCUGUGAGCGAGUUUACUUUUUCAAAAUCUUGGCAAUUUCCUGUUGUUGGUGUCAUUACUGAGUUAUUGACAAUUAAUCGCUUGUAGCUUGCUCUAAAUUGAGCAGCGUUCGGGUUAUUGUUUGAACCGCUCUUGGCCCUGAUGGCGCCGAAAAAGUGUUCCAAGUGGUCUUGACUGUACCAAUAGGUAAAAACGUUAUCAACAGCCCCCAUUUCUUCAACAUACGUCUUAUAUAAGUUCUUGAAGCUUUCAAUAGCAACGAGAAAACCUAAAAAUCCAGUUUUACAGCGUGAAUCUAAGAUACUCGAUCCAUUCUUAAGCUUGAUGUUCCGGAUGAAUUUCUCGAUAUAAGCAAACGUAUGAUGGUACAAGUCAAAAUUUGUGGUUGAUAGCGGUUUUUUGAAACCAGUAGCGUUUCCAUCCAUACUGUUAGUAACAUCAAAAAGAUCAUUGAAAAGGUUCAAAAAUUCUACAGUCGCAGAACAAUCGGCAAAUUCUGGUUCAAAGUCGCUUAGCUGUUCAAGGGCAGUAGCAACACUAUUGCUGAUAACUUGAACAGCUAACAGGACUUUCAUUUUGGAAUUUUCAAAAUGAAUAUGCUUAUCACAUAGUUUAGGUGCCAAUUUUAAACCUAGUGCUGUUUGGUACUCAUUCAGUUUCUCUAUAUAGUGCCAUUUUGCGACGCCGUUCAAAGUAGUUAGUUCUUUCUGUUUGUGCAGGGUGUUCCUAACGAGCUUGAGCAUGUGUACAGUAUCCAGUAGCACAUGUACGCUAUGAUUGGAUGUUGGAUGAGGGAAGCAAGUUACCAGUGGGUCCGCACUGCCUCGGAUAUCACAUCCGAGAGCGUUAGCAGCUGCAAUAUUUGUGCAAGUUCCAUCAAAAGUUAAGGCUACAAUAUAUACACCAGCUUCGUGAAGGCUUUGAAGUAUGGUGUUGAUUAUGUCCUUCUUUUCAAUAGCGUUUAGUCCCUUGAUCAAAAAAUAAGCUAUCGGUAUUUUCCAUGGGUCCUGAACGCCAGUGACCAUGAAUACAAGUGCUUCCUUUGCUGCAGGUAUUUGCUCUGCUGACGACUUGGCAUUUUUUUCGGUUGUUUGGGUAGAAUGCAAAUAGGCCACUCCCUCCAGUUUUUUGGUCUGCUCAUUCCAAAUUACUUGCUGGCGGAUGGCCAUCUCGUCCAUCAUAAGGCAUCCUAGCAGCAACUUUCCUUGGAGUUUGGCCUCAUUUGCUUUCACCUUUAAAGCUUCCAAGCUUUCCCUUGUUAUUCCCGGUUCUCCAUUGACACUUUCAUACCAGCGGAUUAUAGUUCGCUGGUGUGGUAGUGUUUUGUUGAACAUGUGGCGCACGUAUCUGUACGCUUUCGGUGAAUAAAAAUGCAAUGUCGUAGCAAAGCUUCGCAUUUCAGCACUGUACGGUUGGCCAUGCGUUCGGGAUUUCAAUUCGUUAAAAAGAGUAUCGUUUGAUGAA
rnacentral:lncRNA from 1 species